CCGGCCUUAAUUAGUAUCAAUUCAAUUAGUUUUCAAAUGACAUCAUUUUGAAACAUCAAUUGUAACAUUGCCUAUUUUUGCGUAGCAUGACAUCCAUUUCCUUCUCCCUCUCCACCUCCGCCUCGACGACCCACCUGACAUUCAAGACCCUCGCUCAUCCAGGUCGGAUCAACUGGAGCCCGAACCCGAACCCGAUCUUUCAUCUGCUGAAUUAGCAAAUUUAUCAGCAACUAGUACAUUUACAUCAUCAAAGCGGUGGAAAGAUAUUUGUAAGAAAAGUGAUAAGAAAAACUCAAAAUCACCUAGCAAUGCUAGUAGCGGUUGUAAUUAUAAUGAUAAGAAGAAAGAGAAGAAGGGCGGUGGUGCUGGUAUUGGUUGUGGAUGUAAUGGGGUGAGUGCGGCGGAGCUAAAGAUAAAUUUAAUGCCUUUUUCGAGGAGUAGAUCCUCUGGGAACAACGGAAGUAGGCCGCGUAUGGUGGCAGGAUCUACGGCAUCGGCGACUCGAAAGGUUAGUAGCGAGCCAUGCUCUAGGUGUAACUCUGCAGGCGAGUCUAAGACGUCGAGGAAGUGGCCGAGUAGCCCUAGCCCAGUGGGGGUUCACUUGGCAAGAAACGACCCAAUUUCGCAUGUUCGCCGGGGCGGCGUGAUUGGGCGGAGCUCCGAUGCUAUGUUAAAGAGUAGUGCUGAAAAGAGUGCAUCAAAGCUACGAAAUGAUGGACACCGGAAAAUCCCCUUCGCCGAAUCCGGGGGCAGUGCUGAUGGUGGAGAGAAAGCUGGGGUGCUGAAUUUAAAUAUUCCUGUCUGUAUGGGAUACCGCCACGGCGCCACCACUUGAGUUGCAGUAGUGACGAAAAUAGUGCUGUCAGUGUUGUGGCGGAGGCCGGAGAAAGCAGUGGCCUAAGUGUUGAAGGUGGCUCCGGUGAUGCGGUACGCAGUAGACUAGUACAUUUAACAUUCGGAGCAUAAAGAAUGUAAUAAUCAUUUUCUUUAUGUAAUUUCUCGUCUUCUUAAAAUAUUGUUAUAUAAUUCAGAAAUUUAUUAAUCACGCUGAGUUUUGAAUACGCUAAUUUUUUUUAAAGUGACAAAAAAUUGUCUCAUAUAAUAUUGUCGUCAAUCAACAGUAUAUUAAAACAUUAGUAUUUUAUAGUGC
rnacentral:lncRNA from 1 species